CACAAGUUGCAAAUGCUUCCACAUAGAUGAUCUCGUUUUUAUUGCCCCCAUUUUACAGAUGAGGAAACCGUAACUCAGCUAUGACCUGUUUGAAGUCACACAGCUAGAAUGUGCUAAAGUGGAGACUGGAACUUGGGUCUUUCCUAUCAUGCUGCACAUAAAAUUAUGGACCAUGCCUCAGGUUUCCUUGCCCUCUGCCUGGCUCCUCCAGAUGGUUAUCUACAGCAGACAGAACCCCAGCAGGAGCAGGAAUUGGGUGUGAGUGUCUUUAACACCAGUGGAGUCCUGCAUGAUCUGUCAGACCUGUAAUUUCAGCAGGAGUGCUUUCGGCAAGUGAGAUGCAAGUAUGUUGGAUUGCAGAAUUCCUUUUUCUUUCUGGUUAGGGAUUAUCAGGUCAUCUGACUGCUAAUUCUUCAGGUGUGGACUACUCUUCCUGCUCUGUGAAUCUGUUCUUUGGGACAGAGUUCUGGCAUAAGAGUUUAAAGACACAAAUUGUUGCUCUGCCACCGACUAUGAGCUCAGUCAAGUCAUCUGACAUUCCUGGGCCCAUGGCAGAAUUAAGAUACUUAGAAGCCAUAAGCACUGAAUAUAUCGUGGCCUUUUGACCCCAGAAAUAACUGUAAGCAAACAUGGCAAAAUUCUGAUUUUCCCCAAGAUGACUGCUUGAUGAUUUUUUGAGUUACCAAUAGUCAGAUUUGCUAAUAUUUUGUUCUUUUGAUGUCCCUGAUUAGUCUAACUAUCAGGUAACCAUUGUCUAGCUCUCAAUUGCCUCAUCCAUAAAAUGAAUAACUAGAUGAUGGCUUGAUCUACUAAAUUUCUAUCAGAUCAAAACUUUUGAUCGUGAAACUGCUUUUAUUCUCUUUUGUUUGUGAUGUUCUUUUUUUUUUGCCCUUUUUUAAAGCUUUAUUGAGCUAUAAUUGACAAACAAUAAGCUGCACAAAUUGAAAGUGUACAAUUUGAGAAUUUUUGGCACACCUAUACUCCGAGGAAACCAUUGCUGUAAUCAAAAUAGUAAAUAUCCAUCUUCUCUACAGAUUUCCUUGUUGGCCUUUAUAAGCCUUCCCUUCCACCCUUACCCACCCCAGCCACCAGGCAACUAUCAAGCUAGGUGCUUUCUGUCACUAUAAGAAGCUUACAUUUUCCAGAAUUUUAUAUAAAUGGCAUCAUAGAGAAUGUAUUUUUUCCCCCAGCUUCUUUCACUCAGUGUAGUUAUUUUGAGAUACAGCCAUGUUGUUGCAUGCAUCAAUAGCUCAUUUCUUUUAGUUGCUAAGCAGCAUUCCAUUGUAUAGAUAUACCACAAUCUGUUUAUCCAUUCAUCUGUUGAAGGACAUUUGUGUUGUGUCCAGUGUUUGGCUAUUAUGAAUAAAUCUUCUAUGAACAUUCA
rnacentral:lncRNA from 1 species